rnacentral:rRNA from 1 species
CCUACGGGAGGCAGCAGUGGGGAAUCUUGCGCAAUGGGCGAAAGCCUGACGCAGCAACGCCGCGUGCGGGAAGAAGGCUUUCGGGCUGUAAACCGCUUUCAGCAGGAACGAAAAUGACGGUACCUGCAGAAGAAGGAGCGGCCAACUAUGUGCCAGCAGCCGCGGUGAUACAUAGGCUUCAAGCGUUGUCCGGAUUUAUUGGGCGUAAAGAGUUCGUAGGCGGUCGAGUAAGUCGGGUGUGAAAAUUCUGGGCUCAACCCAGAGACGCCACCCGAUACUGCUUGACUUGAGUUCGAUAGGGGAGUGGGGAAUUCCUAGUGUAGCGGUGAAAUGCGCAGAUAUUAGGAGGAACACCGGUGGCGAAGGCGCCACUCUGGAUCGAUACUGACGCUGAGGAACGAAAGCAUGGGUAGCAAACAGGAUUAGAUACCCUGGUAGUCCAUGCCGUAAACGGUGGGCACUAGGUGUGGGUUUCUAUUAACGAAAUCCGCGCCGUCGCUAACGCAUUAAGUGCCCCGCCUGGGGAGUACGGUCGCAAGACUAAAACUCAAAUGAAUUGACGGCUGAGACGNGCGACGACGACGACGAGGAGAG